rnacentral:lncRNA from 1 species
UCUAAGAACUCAUGAAAAAUCCAUGGAGAUAUUCCCGAGAGCUCUCAAAAUCUUUGAUGAAGAUCUAAGAGAGGAGAGAACUUUUUAUAGCAGGAUUUUCCUAACCUAACCGGACUCUCCUCCACCCGAUCUCGAUGAAAUCAGAAGCGAAGAAGACUCUGAUUUGGAGUCUUCUUCCUCCUCUCUGCCAUGCGCUGCACAUAGAAUUUUUUUUAAAAAAACUUUUGAGCUACUAAAGUUUGGGCCUGGUUGAAGGGCCCAAAUGAGUUGGAUUAUUACAUUCUUUUUUCUUAAAAUAAUUUCAUCCUCAAAAUUAGCUUUGCUUGAUCAAUAACUUUAAAAAUAUAUUGUUUAUGUCAUCCUCGAGCUUUUAAUAGUCUACUUUACAUAGUACUUGUUUCACAAGAUCUUGAUAUAACAAAAUUAUGUGACAUUUCACCCUCAUUCCCUUC